rnacentral:rRNA from 1 species
GACGAACGCUGGCGGCGUGCUUAACACAUGCAAGUCGAACGGAAAGGCCUGUCCUUCCUUGUGUUGGACGGGUACUCGAGUGGCGAACGGGUGAGUAACACGUGAGUGAUCUGCCCCCAACUUGGGUAUAAGCCUGGGAAACUGGGUCUAAUUCCCGAUAGUACUGCAGGGUGGUGCCUGUGGUGGAAAACGAUUUUCUAGUGGUUGGGGAUGAGCUCGCGGCCUAUCAGCUUGUUGGUGGGGUAAUGGCCUACCAAGGCGGCGACGGGUAGCCGGCCUGAGAGGGUGGACGGCCACAUUGGGACUGAGCUACGGCCCAGACUCCUACGGGAGGCAGCAGUGGGGAAUAUUGCACAAUGGGCGGAAGCCUGAUGCAGCGACGCCGCGUGGGGGAUGACGGCCUUCGGGUUGUAAACUCCUUUCGACCGCGAGGAAGCCGCCUGGUUGGAAGGGUGGUGACGGUAGUGGUAGAAGAAGCACCGGCUAACUACGUG